rnacentral:lncRNA from 1 species
CGGGCCAGCCUGCUUGUCCAUAUAAACGCAUGAUAAUUUUUACUAUAAAAUAACUACACAGCGAGAUCUUGCUUACCAGGCUGUCUCGCUUAUCAGGCCAGCCCGGCUUCCAUAUAAACAGGCCCUAAGUCUGAAAACAAUGAUGAGGACUUUGAUGAAGAGAGCUGUACCAUUGAUGAUGAUGAUGAUGUGAAUUCCAACACAGAAACUGAGGGAAAUUCUAAAGUCAAUGAGUUACAAAUUCUAUACAAUGCUGUAUUGAUUCUUCACCAAAAGGUGCAAGAAAUACCAAAACUGAAUCUUCCUUGGCCACCAUUGGCAUCUGAUUUGACAAUGGAUAAUAUUUCAAAUCCGACUAUGAGGACUGGACUAGAUUUCAAGUACACGCAAUUUGAUCACGUCCGAGGCGAAGCAGAGGACUGGAUCAAAAUGUGAGGACUUGAAAUCUAGUCCAGUCCGAAUUGGAGGAUUUGAAAUGACAUCUCAUACGAAUAAAUCACUACUUAAUUAAUUUUGAUCCAGUCCAAGGACUGAAUUAAUUUUAAUCCAGUCCUAGGACACUCAUGAAUUAUUAGUGAUUUAAGGUGAACAAUGAUGGUAAUGCACGUAGGUAUUAUCAGUGCAGUAAAUCUAGGAUUGGUAUCCAUAGAGUAUACUGAGCGAUGGUGGAACGGACAGUUUAAGAAGCGCCAAACUUAUCUUGCAUAGUUAUUCAAUAAUAAUACAUUGAAGAUUCAAUCAGAGGUUUUCCUAGGAGUUUAUAUAAAUAUCCCUUAAAGCAAGGGACGAACUGGGAAACACUGUUGUCAUAUUAUUUGUCUUUCCAAUCUUUCGGUAUGUCAUAUUGUCUUAUCAGCGUCGGCAAACGGAUCACGGUUAACCGUGAACGGAAGAAGAGUGUUUCAUCAAAUGCUUCUGAAUUUGGUGGGAAAUAGUUUGCUUUCUGGGAAGCAAAUUUUGCUUCUGCAAUAAAAACCAAUUAAAAAUCACGAAUAUUUCCGCGACAUUGUUUCUUACGUUUGGCCAAGGCUUUAAGUUUAGCGAAAUAUUUCAUUUGUUCCUUGAUCGUGUGAAUUGUAUGUAUAUAUAUUUUUUAUUCUCCGUCCUGUUUGAUACAGGUGGGUUUUUUACCUCACACAAAUUUGUAUUGAAUUAGGAUGUUAAUAUAAAGUAGAAUUAAACGUUAAAACGGUAUUUUGAAACAAUAGCC